rnacentral:lncRNA from 1 species
AAUACUGAGCCUUCAUUCAAACUAAAAGGCUGGAAGGGAGGCAGCUGCCUUUGUUUGCCAUGGAUGGGUAGGGGCUGCACUGAGCAGCACCGGUGUUCUUCAUCCGGCUGCACCCCCAACAGAGCUCUUUCUUCCCCAGAUCCCUUUUACAGUUGGAUUCUCCCUCUUGGAUCUGGCUCUGCCUUAGUCCGACCUAGAGGGAUCAGCUUCGCCCACGCCCACUCUCACCCGGAACCUUUCAUCUCUUAUUGAAGCCUUUUAGGCCCAUUGGGAUGUUCAUUAGAACUCUGAAAACUACAGUUCUCCCCUUUAUGAGGACUGCACCACAGCUCGCCCUCUCCUGGGUUCCGGUAAGAAGAGAUUCCAAUACCACUCUUUUUUCAGAAUUCAGAAAGGCAAGAGACCACCUUACUGAGCUUCAAACUGGGGCUGGGAACGCUGCCAUGAAUUGGGCUUGGUCUGUCUGAAGGGAGCCACCUUUUCGACAAUCCUUAGACUUCUUUUGCCUGUUGGAAUUACACCUUGGAUCGUGGCGAAGUCUAUAGAGGUCAGAUUAAGAAGAACCAAAGCAGAAUAAACGUAGAACCCGAUGCUGAGUUCACGAGUGAGGACGACCUCUUCCUAUAUGCUUUGCUAUACCCUGCGUUUUGAACAUUAAGGACGAGAUAGGAGGCCCAUAAUGUUUCUUCUUGCUUUAAUCCUGUCGUGGCAACGUUGACUUCCACCUGGUUGCAGAGUGAGCCCAUGGGACAGCCCUCUGAAAUUAUACUGCUUACAACCAUGCUGAGUCUGCAAGGACUUCGUCCAAGCCUUUCCGUCCAGGACCUCAAACAGAUCCAAUCACAAGAAGAGAGAUUUCAGGAAAGAGAAAAUUAUUCCUAUCAUCGGGGUUUUUGAAGAACAUGAAAUGACUGGGAAAAUAAUCAUGUUAAGUGGAAAAAAAAAAGAAAUCUAUCUGUUGUAAUUUUCAAAUAAUUUUUAAAUAAAUUUGAAAAAUUAAGAGAACUAUAUAUAUAA